AGUUAUAUCUGAGGUAUAAUAUACAGUCGUAAGAUGAAUGCGCAAAUCCCACGCUGCCAAGAAAAGCUUCUAACGUUAAUAUAUGACUGCCCGUACUGUAAACCGACACAGGUGGUCAGGAUGAGAAAUCUAAGGCGGACAGGCUAACUCUCGUUAAGGAACUCUGCAAAAUAACCUCGUAACUUCGGGAGAAGAGGAGCCCUUGGGUGUUAGUAUCCAUGCGAUACAAAGCGCUCGAGGGUCGCAGUGAAGAGGCUCAAGCAACUGUUUAACAAAAACACAGGUCUAUGCUAAGCUGGAAGGCGAUGUAUAUGGGCUGACACCUGCCCAGUGC
rnacentral:rRNA from 2 species